rnacentral:rRNA from 1 species
UACGUAGGUGGCAAGCGUUAUCCGGAAUUAUUGGGCGUAAAGAGUGAGCAGGCGGCAGUUUAAGUCUGAGGUCAAAUCGUGGGGCUCAACCCCAUUUCGCCUUGGAAACUGAACAGCUAGAGUACGAGAGAGGUAAACGGAACUCCAUGUGUAGCGGUGAAAUGCGUAGAUAUAUGGAAGAACACCAGUGGCGAAGGCGGUUUACCAGCUCGAUACUGACGCUCAGUCACGAGAGCGUGGGUAGCAAAUA